GGGGAAUAAGCCCACCCCACCUCCCCCCCAAUCCUGAUCCCACGAGCUCCCGCACCUCCCCGCCUACCGCCCUGUCCCCAACCAGUGGCACCGGCACCGCCGCCACCAAGCCCCCAACCGGAGACGCGGCGGCCGUCCCGCCCCAACCGGUGACACCACGGCAGCCCCGCCAUGCCUCAACCGGAGACACCGCGGCCCCAACGUCCCGCCGCUGCCCCCAGCUUUCCCUGCCGUCAAUACGCUCCACCGUCACGUCGUGCCACCACGCGCCACCACGCGCUGCCAGAGGCGGAGGAAGCUUCCUCCCCCAGAGCGCGAAAACCGUUCCACCCCAUCCCCUAUUGCUCCCUUCGGUGAGGUAAACGAUGAGAUCCCCCACCCCCUCUGUACUCCUCCCCAAUCGUGCUUGUAUCUUCAAUACCUAGGAUGUAGUUCUGGAGGCUUCUCCUCACUCCAUGAACGGUGUUGCUCAUUGGAACACACAAGCCGUGGUGGGCUGCUAUUCGACAGACACGUGCAAGUAGUUUGUCUUUGGCCCGUGGCGUCACCCUUUGCACUGGCGAGCAUGGGAGCUGGCCUGAGGCGUGGUCCUACUCGUCGUCCCUUGGUGUCGCUCGACUGAAGAGGGAUGGAGCUCCGCACAACGUGCGAAGUUCGAUGGGUGAGCCUAUGCAGUCCGACGGUGCGUGUUGGGCAGAUGGCACGCAGCUGCCGCGGUGAAGCCCCUGCCUAUGCAGUUCAGUUUUGCCUACUGUUGCAUUCUCUAUUUCUGAACUGAACAUUUGUGAUAGACGUAUGUGUGUGCUGCUGAUGUGUGUGUGUCGUGCAAUGGCAUUUUAGUUAGCACCCAAACAUGCUUCUUACUUUGUUGUACGUACAAAAUUGUGGUUGCUCGCUUCUUUCUGAGUUAUUUGAUUGUUGUACAUCUAUAUUUCCUAUACUAGUGAUGAACCUGCAGCUAGAGGAGGGCUCGGCCUGCAGCAAGAGGAGGGCACGACCUGCAGCUAGGUGGCCACAUCCUGCAGAGAAGAUAGAGGCAGCUGGGUGACGGAUCUUGCACGCGCCCCUCCGGCCAGGAGGCUGCCAAGCUGCUAGGUCGUCGGCCACCAGCAGAGGAGCAGCAGGUCAUCUUUCCCCACCUCCUGGUGCAGAACGCUGAUGACGCCGAGCCUCUCAGCCCCUCUGCCCUCGACCAGUAUUCCUUGUAGAAAUCGAGCACUGGUCCCAACAAGCUAGGAGAGGUUCAUGUAUUUUUUCUCACGAGGGAAUUUUACCUAAGUUGACGCAAAAAAGUUCGUUUUGUAAUUCAUGGAAGUUUGAUGCCUAUGCUUUUGAGACUAAAACUGUUUUCAUUUCAUGAAAGCCAAAAAAAAUUGUGGA